AGAGUUAAACAGUACGUGAAAUUGUUGAAAGGGAAACGAUUGAAGUCAGUCAUACCAACGGGAAAUCAACCUUUUGAGCUUGGUCUCGUGGGUUUUGAAGAGUUUCAAAGCCUUCGGACUCGCGGGAUUGGGAUCUCUUGGUGUACUUUCUCGUACGGUUAGUCAACAUCGGUUUUGAAUGUCAUAAAAUGACUGGAGGAAUGUAGCUUCUUGAAGUGUUAUAGCCUUUGGUAGAUGUGAUGUUUGAGACCGAGGAUUGCAACGGAUACCCUUCAGGGCUAUUCGUCUGAUCUCUGAUACGUUGCCUUGAUGUUGAAAGCUUGCUUAUGAUGUCAGGGUAUUACGGUCAAAAGGUUAGAACGAAUUACAUUCGUUAAGGAUGUUGACGUAAUGACUUUAAACGACC
rnacentral:ncRNA from 2 species